GGUGGCUCAGUGGUAGAGCGCUUGACUUGCAUGCCUGAGGCCCUGGGUUCGAUUCCCCAGCACCA
rfam:Dipodomys ordii contig_28497, whole genome shotgun sequence.